AACGAACGCUGGCGGCAUGCCUAACACAUGCAAGUCGAACGAGACCUUCGGGUCUAGUGGCGCACGGGUGCGUAACGCGUGGGAACCUGCCCUUAGGUUCGGAAUAACUCCCCGAAAGGGGUGCUAAUACCGGAUAAUGUCUUCGGACCAAAGAUUUAUCGCCUUUGGAUGGGCCCGCGUUGGAUUAGCUAGUUGGUAGGGUAAAAGCCUACCAAGGCGACGAUCCAUAGCUGGUCUGAGAGGAUGAUCAGCCACACUGGGACUGAGACACGGCCCAGACUCCUACGGGAGGCAGCAGUGGGGAAUAUUGGACAAUGGGCGAAAGCCUGAUCCAGCAAUGCCGCGUGAGUGAUGAAGGCCUUAGGGUUGUAAAGCUCUUUUACCCGGGAUGAUAAUGACAGUGCCGGGAGAAUAAGCGCCGGCUAACUCCGUG
rnacentral:rRNA from 1 species